rnacentral:rRNA from 1 species
GUGCCAGCAGCCGCGGUAAUACGUAGGUGGCAAGCGUUAUCCGGAAUUAUUGGGCGUAAAGCGCGCGUAGGCGGUUUUUAAGUCUGAUGUGAAAGCCCACGGCUCAACCGUGGAGGGUCAUUGGAAACUGGAAAACUUGAGUGCAGAAGAGGAAAGUGGAAUUCCAUGUGUAGCGGUGAAAUGCGCAGAGAUAUGGAGGAACACCAGUGGCGAAGGCGACUUUCUGGUCUGUAACUGACGCUGAUGUGCGAAAGCGUGGGGAUCAAACAGGAUUAGAUACCCUGGUAGUCAAGGGCG